rnacentral:rRNA from 1 species
AUUGAACGCUGGCGGCAGGCCUAACACAUGCAAAUCGGGCGAGAGGCGGACGGGUGAGUAAUGUAUGGGGAUCUGCCUGAUGGCGGGGGAUAACUACUGGAAACGGUAGCUCAUACCGCAUCCCAUCAGCUGAACCCAUAUGGGCUUAGCUAGUAGGUAAGGUAACGGCUUACCUAGGAGACGAUCCCUCGCUGGUCUGCGAGGAUGAUCAGCCACACUGGGACUGAGACACGGCCCAGACUCCUACGGGAGGAAGAAGUGGGGAAUAUUGCACAAUGGGCGCAAGCCUGAUGCAGCCAUGCCGCGUGUAUGAAGAAGGCCUUAGGGUUGUAAAGUACGUUCAGUCGGGAGGCGUUACCGACAGAAGAAGCACCGGCUAACUCCGUGCCAGCAGCCGCGGUAAUAC